rnacentral:rRNA from 1 species
UAGUCCACGCUGUAAACGAUGUACACUAGUUGUUGGACUUAUUCAGUGACUAAGCGAAAGUGAUAAGUGUCCCACCUGGGGAGUACGAUCGCAAGAUUGAAACUCAAAGGAAUUGACGGGGGCCCGCACAAGCGGUGGAGCAUGUGGUUUAAUUCGAUGAUACGCGAGGAACCUUACCAGGGCUUAAAUGUAGUGGGACAGGUCUAGAGAUAGAUUUUUCUUCGGACUCAUUACAAGGUGCUGCAUGGUUGUCGUCAGCUCGUGCCGUGAGGUGUCAGGUUAAGUCCUAUAACGAGCGCAACCCUUGUCGUUAGUUGCCAGCAAGUAAAGUUGGGGACUCUAGCGAGACUGCCGGUGCAAACCGAGAGGAAGGUGGGGAUGACGUCAAAUCAUCACGGCCCUUACGUCCUGGGCUACACACGUGCUACAAUGGUAUAGACAAUGAGCAGCCACAACGCGAGUUGGAGCGAAUCUAUAAACUAUAUCACAGUUCGGAUCG